rnacentral:rRNA from 1 species
UCCGUAGGUGAACCUGCGGAAGGAUCAUUAACCAGCCGUGAAGGUCGCCCUGGAAAGGGAAUGACCUCUCACCCGGCCAUCCUUGCUUAUUUUAAACCCGUUGCUUUGGUGGGCCCGCUGCAAGGCCGCCGGGGAACUUGGCCCAAGGGUUCCUGGGCCCGUGUCCAUCAAAGUCCUAACCGAACUCUGUAAACCCUAAGUUGUCUGAGUGUGAAAGCAUAACCUUUUAAAACUUUCAACAACGGAUCUCUUGGUUCCGGCAUCGAUGAAGAACGCAGCGAAAUGCGAUAAGUAAUGUGAAUUGCAGAAUUCCGUGAAUCAUCGAAUCUUUGAACGCAUAUUGCGCCCUCUGGUAUUCCGGAGGGCAUGCCUGUUCGAGCGUCAUUACUACCUUCAAGCACGGCUUGAUUGUUGAGCCAAUUUUGUCCUGUUGAUUGAUGGACAGGCUUAAAAUCCAGUGGCGAUGCCGAGUCCUGGUGCCCGAGCAUAUGGAGCUCUGUCACGUGCUUUAGUGGCCCAGCCGGCAUUUUCGUCGAUAUUUCAACCUUGAAAAACAAAAAUCCUAAGAUUUGACCUCGGAUCAGGUAAGGAUACCCGCUGAACUUAAGCAUAUCAAUAAGCGGAGGA